UGCCAGCCGCUGCGGUAAUACGGAGGGUGCAAACGUUAAUCGGAAUUACUGGGCGUAAAGCGCGCGUAGGCCGUUUUGUAAGUGGGAUGUGAAAGCCCAGGGCUCAACCCUGGAACUGCAUUCCAAACUGCAAAACUAGAAUACGAUAGAGGGGGGUAGAAUUCAGAGUGUAGCGGUGAAAUGCGUAGAUAUUCUGAGGAAUACCGGUGGCGAAGGCGGCCCCCUGGAUUGAUAUUGACGCUGAGGUGCGAAAGCGUGGGGAGCAAACAGGAUUAGAUA
rnacentral:rRNA from 1 species